rnacentral:ncRNA from 1 species
AGGGAGAGCGCUUUAUUAAGCCGCCGAAGGAGCAACCGACCCGGAAACUCUCAGGCCCACGGACCGCAGC